AUGUUGAAUGAAAGGAGAGAAAGUUAGCAUUCCCUUGAUAAGAAUGGAAGAGGCCCUUGGGCUUAACAACAUGCAUAUGGUUGAGGAAUUGUCACCUACUUCAUGGCAUCUAAUCACUGUUUUCA